UCCUCCCUCUUUCUUCGUGCCUAAUACAUGCAAGUAGAACGCUGAAGAGAGGAGCUUGCUCUUCUUGGAUGAGUUGCGAACGGGUGAGUAACGCGUAGGUAACCUGCCUUGUAGCGGGGGAUAACUAUUGGAAACGAUAGCUAAUACCGCAUAACAAUGGAUGACCCAUGUCAUUUAUUUGAAAGGGGCAACUGCUCCACUACAAGAUGGACCUGCGUUGUAUUAGCUAGUAGGUGAGGUAACGGCUCACCUAGGCGACGAUACAUAGCCGACCUGAGAGGGUGAUCGGCCACACUGGGACUGAGACACGGCCCAGACUCCUACGGGAGGCAGCAGUAGGGAAUCUUCGGCAAGGGGGGCAACCCUGACCGAGCAACGCCGCGUGAGUGAAGAAGGUUUUCGGAUCGUAAAGCUCUGUUGUAAGUCAAGAACGAGUGUGAGAGUGGAAAGUUCACACUGUGACGGUAGCUUACCAGAAAGGGACGGCGAACUACG
rnacentral:rRNA from 1 species